rnacentral:tRNA from 1 species
GGCCGAGUAGCAAAGUGGUAAUGCAUCGGACUGCAAAUCCGAUACGCGGCGGUUCGAUUCCGCCCUCGGCCUCCA